AAUAACCUCCCACCAAUUUUUUUAAUUAUGUUAUAUUCUAAAAUUCAAAAGAAAUACUAAAAUUGUUUGUCUCAUGCCCUACCCACUCCACCUACGAACCACAAUCUAUGAACAAAAAAAAAUUAACUGGCUACUACAAUUUUCUCUCCCUCUCGACGCCUCAACGGAAGAAAAAAACGAAGAAGCCGCGGAUUGACGCCCCUGCAAUUGGUGAGGUCCGUGAGGAGUGUAUGUUAUUGCGGUCCGACAAUUUUAAUCGUCCUUGCAGUCGACCCACCAGAACUCCCUUGCACUAUCUAAGAGCCCUCAAUUACACUUCAAUGUUUUUCUCGCCAUGUACAAGGGUCCUAGAGAUUAAGUUUCUCAAUACUUUGUUGGCUUGAAUUUGGCUUGCAACUUUGGAUGUCUUGGAUUGAAGAUUGAGAAUACUUAUAUCUAGAUUGGCAUGGGGUUAUCUAAAGAUGCUAGCUGCAACUCCUGCUCCUGUUCAGAAUGACACUAGAGAUGAUGAACCCUUGAAUGAAGAUGAUGUGGGUCGGGGGAGGAUUUAAACACCAUACAUUUGGUUUUAGCUCAAUAUGACAAGAUGCCCCUUUGAGCAAGGUACAGAAGCAAUCAAAAUGUCAAAUUCUUGUACUCAAGAUUUUAGCCAAGUUUCUUCACCAGAGAAAUUUGAAGAGUGCAAGCUGUUGCCGACAGGCGACAACCUACUCUAAUUUUUUUCUUUUUCUUUUGGAGAUAGUUGAUAGGAUUUAGAGCUAUUUUCGUAGCAUAUAGGAUUUAGAGUGCAACCGGUUGGUUUAAGUAUUCUAGUUUAUUUAUUAUUUAUAAUUGUAACAAAAUUUGAAUUGGUGUUUGAAAUGAUUAUAAUAUUGAUGCAAUAGUUGAAUA